GGGGUUAAUUUAAUAAAUAAUAAAUAUGAAAAAAAAUUUUAAUAUAAUAUAUUUAAUGGGGGUUAAAGUAUUUUUAUAGAAAAAAUUUAAAAAUUUAUAGUGGAAUAGUAUUGUGAAAGAAAUAUUGAAAAUAUUGAAAUAAAAAUUUAUUUAAAAGUAAAUUUUAUUUAUUGUAUCUUGUGUAUCAGAGUUUUUUAAAAAAGAAAAUUGGGUAAAUUUAUUUCGAAAUUUAAAGAGUUAAUUAAUUAAAAAAGUUAAUAUUGCAUAAUUAUUUUAAAUAGUUAAUUGGAAAUGAAAAGUUAAUCGUUUUGAAUGAUAUCUAAUUUUUUUAGAAAAAAGUUUAAUUUUAAAUAAAUUUUAAAAAUAAUUAAUUAAUUAAUUAUUUUUAAAAUUUAAUUUUAUAUUUUAGGGGAUAAGCUUUAAAUUAGAAUUUUAUAAUAAAAGUAAAAAAAAUUGAAAUUUUUAAAAUUUAUAUUUUUUAUAAAUUAUAGUUUAUUAUCAAUAAUUUCAUUUAAUUAAAAUUUUAUUUUAAUUUAAAUUUUUAUAAAAAAAUAUUUUUUAAUUAAAUAAAAAUAGAUAUAAUGAUAAAAUUAGUAUAUAAUUUAUAAAUAAAAUAAAAAUUAUUUAAAUUAAUAAAAAGGAAUUCGGCAAAAAU
rnacentral:rRNA from 1 species